GAUAUUGAACCGCAUCAUGCUCAACCAKAAACYCWUYGUGAACUUAUACCUWACUUGUUGCCUCGKCGCWAKCUGGUCCUUCGGGGCCCCUCACCCUCGGGUGUUGAGACAGCCCGCYGGCGGCCAACCUAACUCUUGUUUUUACACUGAAACUCUGAGAAUAWMMCAUAAAUGAAUCAWAMCUYUCAACAACGGAUCUCUUGGUUCUGGCAUCGGAUGAASAACGCAGCGAAAUGCGAUAAGUAAUGUGAAUUGCAGAAUUCAKUGAAUCAUCGAAUCUUUGAACGCACAUUGCGCCCUCUGGUAUUCCGGAGGGGCAUGCCUGUUCGAGCGUCAUUUCAACCCUCAAGCCUGGCUUGGUGAUGGGGCACUGCCUGUAAAAGGGCAGGCCCUGAAAUUCAGUGGCGAGCUCGCCAGGACCCCGAGCGCAGUAGUUAAACCCUCGCUCUGGAAGGCCCUGGCGGUGCCCUGCCGUUAAACCCCCAACUUCUGAAAAUUUGACCUCGGAUUCAGGUAGGAUACCAGCUAACUUCCC
rnacentral:rRNA from 1 species